rnacentral:misc_RNA from 1 species
CAAGAAGCCGAAAGGCUACUUAAAACCAUCGCGAACUUAUCCAAGUUGCUUCGGCGGCGCGGCUCCCCUCACGGGGGACCGCAGCCCCCGCCUCUCAGGAGGUAAGGGGCGGCCGCCGGAGGUACGAAACUCUGUAUUAUAGUGGUAUCUCUGAGUAUAAAACAGAUAAGUUA